AAGUCGUAACAAGGUAACCGUAGGUGAACCUGCGGUUGGAUCAUUAUUAUAAUGAUUGCUUUUAAAGGGAGGCAUAGGGGGAUCAACCUUUUUUGGGCGAAACUCCUUUACUUCUUUUUAAGAGUAACUAACCAUUUGUGCAAUGUGAUGUUUUUUGGGUCUAGCUUUAAACCUAGGCCCUGCCAUUUGUAAAACCAUUUUUAAACUUGACUAAAACUUUUAAAUAUAAAAUUUUAAAACUAUAGACAACGGAUCUCUUGGUUCUC
rnacentral:misc_RNA from 1 species